rnacentral:rRNA from 1 species
CCUACGGGAGGCAGCAGUGGGGAAUAUUGCACAAUGGGGGAAACCCUGAUGCAGCGACGCCGCGUGAGUGAAGAAGUAUUUCGGUAUCUAAAGCUCUAUCAGCAGGGAAGAAAAUGACGGUACCUGACUAAGAAGCACCGGCUAACUACGUGCCAGCAGCCGCGGGGAUACGGAGGGGGCAAGCGUUAUCCGGAUUUACUGGGUGUAAAGGGAGCGUAGACGGGAGAGGAAGUCUGAAGGGAAAGCCCGGGGCCCAACUGCGGGACUGCUUUGGAAACUGCCCGGCUAGAGUGCUGGAGAGGUAAGCGGAAUUCCUAGUGUAGCGGUGAAAUGCGUAGAUAUUAGGAGGAACACCAGUGGCGAAGGCGGCUUACUGGACAGUAACUGACGUUGAGGCUCGAAAGCGUGGGGAGCAAACAGGAUUAGAUACCCGAGUAGUC